GUCAAAAGAAAAUAUAAACAGAGUAAAAGAAGGCACUGUUUUUGUUAGUUGGAACCUGAAUUCUAGUAAGGAUCACAAAGAAAUCCAUUAAUGACAAAUCAGUCCUCUUCUUCUCCUUCUCCAAUUCUCUGUGCUUCUUUCAACCAGGAUUACAGUGGAUUUUCAAUUGGAACACGAGAUGGAUUCAAAAUAUUUGAUUCUGAUAGUGGAAGACUUUGUUAUUGUAGAGCUAUGGGAGCAUUUAACAUUGUAGAAAUGAUGUUCGGCUCAAGUCUACUUGCCAUUGUAGGGGCAGGAGAGCAGCCAUCAUUAUCUCCGCGACGGCUAUGUCUUUUCAAUACUAAAACUGGAGCUGCAGCUAGAGAACUAAAUUUCUUGACUUCAAUCCUUGCUGUUCGUUUAAAUAUGAAAAGGCUCAUCGUCUUAUUGCAAGAUAAGACUUACAUAUAUGAUCUGAAUAGUCUUGCUAUACUGGAUACCAUUGAUACAGUGUCAAAUCCAAAGGGACUUUGUGCAUUCUCCCCAAAUUCAGUAAGCUGCUACUUAGCUCUUCCUGCGAGUACGACAAAAGGGUCUGUGCUUCUUUAUAAUGUAAUGGAACUCCAGUCGCAUUGUGAGAUAGAAGCUCAUCGCUCACCAUUGGCUGCAAUCGCCCUUUCAUCCAACGGAUUAUACAUAGCAACAGCUUCUGAGCAGGGAACCAUAAUCAGAGUACAUCUGGUUACUCAAGCAACUAAGUCUUAUGGUUUUCGGAGGGGAACCUAUCCGUCAGCCAUAUAUUCCCUCUCAUUUGGGCCGUCAAUGCAGCUUCCAGAUAUACUGGUUGCCACAAGCUCAUCAGGUUCUGUGCAUGUUUUCUCUCUUGCAUUCAUGAUAAACCAAAGAAGCAAAAGAUCUAGCAGCCUUCUUGGAUCAAUGAUUCCAAAUAAAAUAAAUGAUGCUUUUGAACCUGCCCAUCAUUAUGUUCUUCCCAAUGCAGUCCCAGCAGGAGUAAAAAGUUAUGUAAUGAUCCGAGGUCGAGGUGCAGACACAGUUGCAGGCAUAUCUCCUCUAUCGCAGCCUGUCAUUUCCCAUUUCAACCGUAUAAGAUGGCAAUCAGGUGCGCAAGAAUCCGAAGGAUGUAUAUUUGUCUGAUCGUAGGAACUUGAUUUUGAGAAAGUUGGAGCGGAUACUUUCAACAAUACAAGUUUAGUAUCAACCAUGCAAGCAGCGGCUCAUGGAGUUUGGAACGCGAACUAAAUCUACUAACUGCUAUUUUAGAUAAUGUUUCCUAAGAGAAGUAAGAAUUAGACACGCAGCUGAAUCAGGAUUUCACCGCUACUCGCACUUCCUAUCAAGGGAAAGGAUAGAAAAGGCAAAAAUAGAGGAGUUACAUAGAGUUAAAUAUCAAAACUCUUAGCAUUAUCAUUUGUGUAUAUAUUUUUGUAUCGUCUUAUCAUAGAUUGAUAUCUGGAUUGGUUUUAUCUUCUUGUGAGUAACAAAAUUGUGGUGAUA